GCACCGGAGGCAUCGCCAUGGACGUGC
rnacentral:sRNA from 1 species